rnacentral:rRNA from 1 species
CCCUACGGGGUGCAGCAGGCGCGAAAACUUCACACUGUGCGAAAGCGCGAUGAGGGAAUCCCAAGUGUUUGCUCGUAAGAGUAAACUGUUUCUUUGUUUAAAACGCAGAGAGAGUAAGGGCUGGGUAAGACGGGUGCCAGCCGCCGCGGUAAUACCUGCAGCUCGAGUGGUGAUCAUUAUUAUUGGGCCUAAAACGUCCGUAGCCGGUUUAGUAAAUGCCUGGGUAAAUCGUGUAGCUUAACUAUACGACUUCCGGGUAGACUGCUAAACUUGAGACCGGGAGAGGCUAGAGGUACUCCUAGGGUAGAGGUGAAAUUCUGUAAUCCUAGGGGGACCACCAGUGGCGAAGGCGUCUAGCUAGAACGGGUCUGACGGUGAGGGACGAAGCCCUGGGGCACAAACCGGAUUAGAUACCCGGGUAGUCCAGGGUGUAAACGCUGCUUGCUUGAUGUUAGUUGGGCUCCGAGCCCAACUAGUGUCGGAGAGAAGUUGUUAAGCAAGCUGCCUGGGAAGUACGGUCGCAAGGCUGAAACUUAAAGGAAUUGGCGGGGGAGCAC